GGUGAGUUCUGGGUAUGUUGCCACACUUUUCAAUUAAGCACUGAAUGAUUCAUGUUUUUCUAGAAAAUUUAUGUUCAAGUAAUUUUCUCUUUUCUGUUAUGAAUAAAUCAGCCUGUUACGAAUACAUCAACCAAAAAUUACAUAGAUCGUUUAUACAAACUUGUGAGAGGUGUGUUAAUUUAAGCCAAAAAUUUCAGAUUUUAAUAAAAUAUCUCUGCCUAUGCAGAGGUAUGCCUAAUAGACAUUGUGGUAAAAUGCUGUGUUUGGAGGUUAAUGCCGAGGAUUCAUCAAUGACAUUAUAUCAAUGGUGUUGAUUUAAUAAAUAGGAUACCAGAAUAAAUUUAAAUUUUUAGUUGAGAUGAAUAUUUGAACGUUUUUAUUACUAAUGUUUUGUCAGUUAUUUUUUAAAAUUUGAAAAAUUUGCACAAGAACAAUAGUUUUCCAAUACAAGUGUGUGCUAAAUUAUUUCAACUGUCAUUAUACUGCAUGUUUUUGCUAGUAAAUAGUUUUUUGUAUUAUUUUGCUGUUGAUAAAAGAGCAAGGCAUUGUUUGGCUCAACUUAUCAUCUAAAGGAUACUGUUGAAAGUGAUGCUGGUUAUAAAUUAUUGUGCUCACAAUUUUCAGUAAUAAACCUGUAAGACAAGGAAUGCUGUCCUCUUCACUUCCUAGAUCUGAAGAUUUGGAGAUGAUGACGAUGAAGAUGAUGGUGAAAGUUGAUUGAAGCACAAAUUGAAGAGUUAUGCGAUGCUUUAAGAAUGCAUAUUUUUCUCUUUCCAAAGCAGACCAAGAUUUUUACUUACACUCAAGUUUUUGUUAUAUUUUUUGCAUAUACUCAUUUCUUUACAUAAAGAGUUGAGGAAAAAUAUAGCCUUUAUUUUGGAUCUAGAAAUGCAGCAAUAAAAUAAUGUAAUUAAUAUUCAAAAUUGCAAAAUUAUUUCUGAAAAUUUAUCUACAUCUUUGCUUUUGCUGCAUGCAUGCCAAUUUCUGCAUCUUCCAAUAGAAGAGUGACAAUAACAGGUGGCAACCAAAAACUAUUUUACUCACAAAGCACAAUAAUUCAACUAUUUCUUUACAGAGUUUCUGGAAAACCAACUAUUUGGGUAAAUCUCAAAAGUUCCCCUUUUUUAACUACUAAAAAAUGUUCAUACUGUUUAGCAUUAAAGAGUUGUAUAGAUUGUAAAUAUUUUCUCCUACUCUGUGGGUUUUCUGUUUACCCAUAUCAAUAUACAAGUGAUAUGUAUACAUAUUAUAUAAAUACUAUUCAGCCAUAAAAAGCAAUGAAUUAAUGGCAUUCACAGCAACCUGGUUGAAACUGGAGACUAUUAUUCUAAAUGAAGUAACUGAGGAAUGGAACACCUACCAUUAUAUGUUCUCACUCAUAAGUGGGAGCUAAGCUAUGAGGAUGCAAAGGUGUAAGAAUAGUACAAUGGACUUUGGAGACUCCAGGAGAAAAGGUGGGAAGGGAGUGAGGGAUAAAAGGCUACUAUCUGUGUUCAAUGUAUACUAUCUGGAUGAUGCGUGCACCAAAAAUCUCACAAAUUACCACUAAAGAAAUUACUCAUGUAACCAAAUAACACCUGUUUCCCAAAAA
ensembl:lncRNA